rnacentral:tRNA from 1 species
GGAGAGGUGGCAGAGCGGUUGAAUGCGGCUGUCUUGAAAACAGCUGGGUGAGUAGCCCCGGGGGUUCGAAUCCCUCCCUCUCCG